rnacentral:rRNA from 1 species
UACGUAGGGUGCGAGCGUUAUUCGGAAUUACUGGGCGUAAAGCGUGCGUAGGCGGUUCGCUGUGUCCGAUGUGAAAGCCCCGGGCUUAACCUGGGAAUGGCAUUGGAAACUGGCGGGCUUGAGUGCGGCAGAGGGGGGUGGAAUUCCGCGUGUAGCAGUGAAAUGCGUAGAGAUGCGGAGGAACACCGAUGGCGAAGGCAGCCCCCUGGGCCAACACUGACGCUCAGGCACGAAAGCGUGGGGAGCAAACAGG